rnacentral:lncRNA from 7 species
AUGGGACAGACACUCUGCAAGUGGUUGCCGUCAACGCGCACGGUGUGCGUGGAGACACAGGAGGCUGCUGUCUUGAGGGAGCCUGCAUGUGUGCUCUGUGACCAAGUGGAGGACGACUUGAGCUUCCUCGGGAACAAAGAAAAGAACUGUGGAUUUUUUUACCAUCCGUUUUGUGCGUUAUUUGCCAAUGGUCUCUGUGAAUUUGUGGAAGGUAACAGCGAGGCACGCUUUUGCACAGAAGACCUGAUACGCACAGUGAGGCAGGCAGAGCAGAAGGUGAGCACCGGACCAGAACAGGGAGCUUUGUGCCAGGAGAGGCACGGCGAGCUCAGCCUGGUCCCAAGAAAGCAAUCCCGGCCCUUCCAACCAGCCCCAGGAGAAAGUCCUGCUCUUGCAGACGAGCCCUGUUCACCAGGCAGCUCUGCAGAGUGCCACCCAGCCCUGCCCGCACCCUGUGCCCUGCCCAGAGGUGCGGGGCCCGCUGCGUAGGCCCUGAGCCUGCUGCUGAUGGGGGCUGCUCUGCUCUUUCCAGCUCUGCUUCGUUUGUGGCAAUUCAGGGGCCACCAUCACCUGUGCAGAGACGGGCUGCGACCGCAGCUUCCACUUCCCCUGCACCUCAAAGGGUGACUGCAUCAACCAGUACUUUGUAGAGUUCAGGUAAGAGCUGCCAGGCGUCACCUGUGGGCCUCCAACCUCUGCUGUCAGGACCAGUCAAAGCAGUGAGGAACGCACUGUGACACCUCCCAGCAGCCUGACAGAGCCAGAGCCAAGGCCUGGGGCUCCUUCCUGUUCCUCUGCCCUCCUCGCAGCACUUCUCACCUUGCCCAUCCCUCCCAUCUUCCUCCAGGUCCUUCUGCUGGGAGCACCGCCCGCAGCAGGCAGUGGAGGCAGCACCGACGCAGGACACGACCUGCAUCAUCUGCAUGGAGCCCGUGGGGGACAGCAGGUCGUACUGCAUCAUGGUGUGCCGAGCCUGCCAACAAGCCUGGUUCCACCAGGCCUGCAUCCAGGUAGGAGCCCUCCCCUCGCCCCGGGGGUACCACAGGCGCUCAGCAGCACCAGGCCCAGCUCACACUCACCCUGCUUGUGUUUCUGCUGCAGGGAAUGGCCAAGAGUGCUGGGCUGCGCUGCUUCCAGUGCCCGCUCUGCCGUGACAGAGACAAGUUCAUUCAAGAAAUGAUCAACCUGGGGAUCCACAUCCCAGUCAGGUUGGUGCCCUUCAUCCAGCUCUCAAGAUGUGAGGGCACAAGAGCUGUGCCCUGCCCAAGGACUGGCCCUUUGGUGCAGGGAUGGCCUUGGUCUGUCUUAGUCUAGAGGCACUUUCAGCUCAUCACAUUCCCUCCCUUCUCUGGCAGAAAACCAAAGUGGGAGACCAACCGUGCCUACGCAUCCCUGGGAGUUCGGCACCGGCACUGUGAUGCCAGCAACUGCCUUUACCCACAAGGCAGGGAGCGGGCAGAGAGAGAGGGGUGAGUUACCUCAGCAGCCCUCUGGGGCUCUGCGUGGGAUCGCAGCCUCACCACAGCCAGGGGGAGCACAGAUUGAGCACCAGAACUGUGCCGGGCACUCCCUGGCUCAGGUCACUUUGUCCUCACGGCCAACACCGGUUGGUUUCCCCAGGCCCUGGGAGCUGCUCCUCUGCAGCUCCUGUGCUGCACAAGGCACUCAUCGACUCUGCUCCAACUUGAGUCAGAGCACAUCUGCCUGGGAGUGCAACGCCUGUGCGGGAGAGGGCACCGGUAAGAGGCAAACAGCUGCGUGCUGCUGGGCUGGGGCCAGGCGAAGCCUUGUUCAAGUCCCUUUGGCCCAGGAGGGAUGGGAGCCUGUCCCACCCCGGGCUGGAGAUCUGUCCUGCUCACCUUCCUGUCUCCCCUUACAG